CGUACACCAUUUUCCUCUUCCCGCUCGGUGCUUCUCUCACCCCAUCCCCAUCAUUGCGUCUCUCAAUACAUACAUUUUAAACAAACUUACAAACAGAAAUUAAACAAAAAAGCUCAGUUUAAACCAAGAGGUUAGGUUCCACACAUGGAACGUACAGUGUAGUUCUGAAAUACAUAGAUCCCCACCAUUCUAAGAGAAUCCUUGCAGCAUAAUAGCUGAUACCUCAGGUUCUAGGUCAUUUAGAUAAGGUUCCCAUAUUUUGUAGAACUGAUCUGUUUUAGAAUGCAAUGUACAUGUCAGAUAUUCCAGAGGCACCCAUUCAAAUAGUAUCUUAUGCCAAUCUUUCAUAGAAGGAACCUUAUCACUAAUCCACUGUAAAGGGAUGUUUUUCCUCGCUGCCAAGGUAAGGAUGUUGUAAAGCCUCCUCUUACCCACAGAAGUAACAUGCCUACUAGGGAGAACUAACAGUAAAGAAACUGGGUCCAAUUCUAGAUCAACCCCUAGGAUCUUUUCAAUUUCUUGCAGAACACCAGACCAGUAUCUUUGUAUAUUGGUACAUGGCCAUAAACAAUGUGUUAGGGUGCCUGUAUCAGAUUUACAUUUAUGAGACUGAGGAGAAGAGGAAGUGGGGCUAAAAGCAUGUCUGUGAUUUGGGGAUAUCUGCAAUCUGUGUAUUAUUCUUAACUGGAUUGCUCUAGUACGAUUACAUAUAUAUAUUGUUUUUGCAUUUCUCCAAAUGUCCUCCCCCUUCGUCAAUAGUAACAGACAAUUCUUUCUCCCACACUUGUUUCACCCUCUGUGUUGACAGCAGAAAAGGACCUUAAAGCAUCAUAAAACAGACUUACAGACAUUUUCCAUUGUGGGGAAAAAAAAUUUUUUUUCAAUGACAGACAUAUCAGGGUUACCAAUUAAGGUGGUGCUCUUCAGAAUAUAAUGUCUUACUUGUAGGAAGCAGAAAAAGUCCUGCUUUGGGAGUCGAUAUUUCUCGACCAUCUGCUCAAAUGACAAUCAAAUCUUAUCAGCAAAUAAGUCAUUUAGUCUGCGUAUGCCCUUAUUAAGCCAAAAGUGAAAGCAAGCAUCCAACAAUCCUGGACCAAAAUCUGGGUUGUUAAGAAUUGGGGUAAGAGCAGAGGUUAGUUUGGACCUUCCCAGGAAGCGUUGAACUGACCUCCAUACUUUGAGUGUGUUAAGUGUAAUGGGAUUAUUGCAGUGAUCUUCUACAGACUUGAAACUUCUGAAAAAUAAAAGAUCCUGUAAGGAGUAUUUUGAAAGAGAAGUCACAAUGUCUAACCAAAUAGAGGAGUCAUUGUUUGUGAUCCAGUCAGAAAUAUAACAUAGGUGGGCACACCACUGAUAGAACCAGAUAUUGGGCAGAUCCAAGCCACCCAUAGAACUUGGCAGCUGCAAUAUUGCCAUCUUAAGUCUUGGCUUGCGUUUACUCCAUAUAAAGGAACUUAGCCAUCCAUUUACAUCCUUUAUUACCUUAUUGGAGAGUAAUACUGGGAUCAUUUGGAUUGGGUAAAGUGGUCUAGGUAAAAUGUUCAUUUUCAAGAGGGAUAUUCUUCCCGACCAAGAAAUCGGGAGAGAGUUCCAGCGCUCCAGAUCCUGUCUUAUUGUAUCAAACAAGGGAACAAAAUUGUCUUUGUACAUUUCCUGGAAUUUAGGAGUUACAAAUAUACCCAGAUACAUAAAACCUGAGGGAGACUAUUUAAAAGGGAAGGGGGGAGAAGUAUUAGGUACAGAGUGACAUAGCCUCUGAUUUAGUUAAAUUAAUCUUGUAGCCUGAGAAUUCGCUGAAUAAUUCAAUAAUAUUAAUAAGAGAUGUAAUUGAAGUCUCGGGACUAGAGAUGAAUAUCAGGACAUCAUCAGCAUAAAGCUUAUUUUAUGGUGAACAUCACCAAUGAGCAGCCCCUGUAUAGCAGGCGUUACCUUGAUGGCCUCGGCCAGUGGUUCCAUAACGAGUGCAAAGAGGAGAGGAGACAAAGGACAGCCCUGUCUGGUACCUCUGUAUAUAGAGAAGCUAUUUGACCUUAGCCCAUUAGUAAGGACAGCAGCCUGUGGAUCAUCAUAUUACAUUUUCACCCAUUUUAUAAAGUUGUCCCCUAGACCAAAUUUAUUUAGAGCAAAGAAUAGGUAAGACCACUCCACACGAUCAAAUGCUUUCUCAGCAUCUAGGGAGAGCACAAGACCAUCCAUAGCACUUUUCUGGUAGGCUUGAAUUACAUUAAGAAGCCGCCCGACAUUGAUGCAUGACUUACGGCCCUUAAUGAAGCCAGUUUGGUCUCCUUUCACAAUUAGUGGCAGUGAGUCCGAUAAUCUUCUGGCUAGAAUUUUAGAAAGCAAUUUUCUAUCCACAUUCAGAAGGGAAAUUGGUCUGUACGAGGAACAAGACUCUGGACAUUUUCCCUUUUUGAGAAUAAGUGAUAUGUUGGCUUCUCUCAGCGUUUGAGGGAGCUGGUCAUUUGUAAAUGAGUGGUGAAACAUAUCACGCAAUGGCUCAAGGAUCAGGCCAUGGAACUCUUUAUAGAACUCACUACAAAACCCGUCUGGUCCUGGGGCCUUACCAUUUUGCAGAUUCUUAAUUGCGAACAUUAUCUCUUCCUCGGUAAUAAGGGCAGUCCUUCUCUUUAGUUCCUAAUUCACCCUCUAAUGUUUUUUGCUUUUCACGCUUUUUCCGUCUCUUAGUGGCUGUGUAGGACAUAAUCAGACCCCUGGCGUACGCUUUACAGGUCUCUUAGUGGCUGUGUAGGACAUAAUCAGACCCCUGGCGUACGCUUUACAGGUCUCUUAGUGGCUGUGAAUGACAUAAUCAGACCCCUGGCGUACGCUUUACAGGUCUCUUAGUGGCUGUGAAUGACAUAAUCAGACCCCUGGCGUACGCUUUACAGGUCUCUUAGUGGCUGUGUAUGACAUAAUCAGACCCCUGGCGUACGCUUUACAGGUCUCUUAGUGGCUGUGUAGGACAUAAUCAGACCCCUGGCGUACGCUUUACAGGUCUCUUAGUGGCUGUGAAUGACAUAAUCAGACCCCUGGCGUACACUUUACAGGUCUCUUAGUGGCUGUGUAUGACAUAAUCAGACCCCUGGCGUACGCUUUACAGGUCUCUUAGUGGCUGUGUAGGACAUAAUCAGACCCCUGGCGUACACUUUACAGGUCUCUUACUGGCUGUGUAUGACAUAAUCAGACCCCUGGCGUACACUUUACAGGUCUCUUAGUGGCUGUGAAUGACAUAAUCAGACCCCUGGCGUACACUUUACAGGUCUCUUAGUGGCUGUGAAUGACAUAAUCAGACCCCUGGCGUACACUUUACAGGUCUCUUAGUGGCUGUGAAUGACAUAAUCAGACCCCUGGCGUACACUUUACAGGUCUCUUACUGGCUGUGUAUGACAUAAUCAGACCCCUGGCGUACACUUUACAGGUCUCUUAGUGGCUGUGUAGGACAUAAUCAGACCCCUGGCGUACGCUUUACAGGUCUCUUAGUGGCUGUGUAGGACAUAAUCAGACCCCUGGCGUACGCUUUACAGGUCUCUUAGUGGCUGUGAAUGACAUAAUCAGACCCCUGGCGUACACUUUACACGUCUCUUAGUGGCUGUGAAUGACAUAAUCAGACCCCUGGCGUACGCUUUACAGGUUUCCCAAAGGAGCAAGGGGUUAUCUGUUGAUUGAGAGUUAAUAGAGAAAAAGGCUUUAAACUCUGUAAUAAAAUAUGAUGUGAAUGUACGGUCUUUAAGAAUGGUUGUAUUCAACCUCCAAUGUCUUGACCGAUUGGAUGCCCCGUUGAGUUUUAUGUCCAGGAUCACCUCAGCAUGAUCAGAUAUGACUAUGCUUCCUAUCCUAGCGGAUGAAACAGACUGUGAAGACGUCCUGGGCAUAAAAAAGUAAUCUAUUCUAGUCUGACAUCCAUGAGGUGCAGAGAAGAAAGUGAACUCUCUGUUGGAGGGAUGAAAAGUUCUCCAAACAUCAGCAUGCCCCAGAUCAUCACAAAUAGCUUUAAGUGACUUAGCUUGAGGAGAGAGUGAAGCUAUACCACUGGGAAACUUAUCAAUAAGGGGGUUCAAAAAACAAUUAAAAUCUCCUCCAACCACUGCAGUGUCUGAGUUUAAUUCUGAAAAGUCUAGAAAUACCUUAGUGAGGAAAUCAGGGGGGUGGGCAGGGGGGAAGUAAAUAUUCAUUAUGGAAAAGUUCUGCCCUUGUAAAGUACCAUUAAUUAUAACAAAGCGACCAAAUUUAUCUUCCACACAAUUCAAGACCUUAAGUGGUAAGUUCUUUUUCACCAGAAUUGCUACUCCUCUGCUUCUGGAUGUAAAUGAUGAGAAAAACACUUGACCAAACCCCCCCAAUUUCAGAUGCUCCUUAUCAUCCAAAUGAGUUUCUUGCAACAGGACAAUAUCAAUAUUUACUUCUUUUAAAAAAAAAGACAGUACCUUCUUCCUUUUAAUGGGGU